rnacentral:rRNA from 1 species
AUGGUGGUGCGGAAGAGGUUGGAUUAUGGAUCUCGUGGCCACCAGGUUCCCGCCAUGCCACGCGUUCCAAGCUCUGCUCGGGGGAAACGCUCAGCCAGGAGAAAGAAAGAUGAGAUGUCCCCGUUUGAUUUGCUCGCGACCGUCGCAGGAACGCUGUUAGUGGAUCAUGAGAAUUCAUCUAAUAAUGCUCCUAGCAUCAAUGCAGCAGCUUUGACCUAUGCCAGGAAAAGGAAAUCAGUUAAAGCUGAGCAGUGUGAUGACGCUCCGCCGCUCAAAAGCAUUGCCGUGGAGAGCUGUAUAGCGGGUUCUGGUGGUGUGUGUGCCUCUCCUAGGCAAUCUAACAUCUGCUUGGCAGAAAACUCGUCGACACGAAAUGGUACUGACACAGUGUUAGAGUCACUAACCGUGAAACCAGAUAUGUUGGUUAGGGACUCGGUGUUUAGUUGUACAAAAUCAUGUAACCGUGCCCAUGGUGUUGGCGGAAUUCCAGAGUGUGGAUCUUCACGGUCGCUAGAGGCUACUAAUCAAGUGCAGGUGCAGCAACCUAUGGACGGUGACACCACAGCCUUGUACAGUUUGGUUAGCUCUGUGGAUUUGGAUGGCAGACCUCCUGCUUUGGUUAGCUCUGACAGUAGCUCAGGAGUGCCUUUGUGCAUCCAUGACAAGGACCGCAACACCUCCCCUUUGUGCCAUGCUGAAGCGAGGCAUGCUGCAGAUAGAGAUGAUGACGAAAAUUCUUCCGGGUGCACUCAUCCAUGCACCAUGGGAAAUAAUAAGAGCUAUAUGCCACAGUAUACGGGCGAUAGCAGGAUAAGGAAAAUGUUUGCCUCCAAGAUAAGGAAGGCAGCUCGUAAUAAGAUGUGUGGAGAGAUGUCCAAUAAAGGUAGCAAGCUAAAUUUAGGUGGAAAAAAGAUAUCCACCACACGCCAAAGAGUACAAAGAGCAAUGUUCAAGAGGCAAAAGCCAGUGCGCCGUCAUUUUACACCAUCUUCUGCUAAAGGGAUUCUAACUGAAGCUAGCGGGGCAUCAUUUUCUGUGGAAGGUCAAAAUCCAUUAUGUGGAUCUGAGGACUACAAUGUUAAGCUAAGAAUCAAGUCAUUCACCAUCCCGGAACUGUUCAUCGAGAUCCCUGAAAAUGCAACAGUUGGUUCAUUGAAGAGGACUGUAAUGGACGUUGUUACUAGUAUAAUUGAAAGUGGCCUCCGGGUUGGUGUUCUUCUUCAAGGAAAGAGUAUUCAAGAUGACAACAAGACACUUCGUCAAGCUAGAAUUUGCCACGGAGAAAAUCUAGAAAACAUAGACUUCACACUGGAAUGUGAAGCUGGGCAAAGCUCUUCCCAUGGGGUCAGAAUACCAGAGGAAAUGGAUUUUCAUGGUGCAGAUGCCAUGAAACCAUUAGCUAUGGUAAAGUGUGAAGAGCCCUUUUCUGAGACCAAGGCCGGUUAUAACAACCAGCAGCGUGUGCAGGCUUCUCCAAACCGUGUUCAGAGCGAACAUGGUUCUGUUCAUUCUCUUUUUGAAACAACUGCUCACGAAGCAUCAGCUAGCUCACAAGCCAUUGUUCCGGUUGCCUCUCCAAGCUCAGAGGCUCUAGCCAUUGUGCCUGUUUGCAAGUCAAAGCGGCCCGCUAUUGGGCAAAGACGAAUAAGGAGGCCCUUCUCCUUGCCUGAAGUGGAGGCACUAGUGGAAGCUGUUGAACAGCUUGGAACAGGAAGGUGGAGGGACGUUAAAAUGCUCGCGUUCGACAAUACUGAUCAUAGGACCUAUGUCGAUCUUAAGGACAAGUGGAAGACCCUGGUGCACACAGCGAGCAUAUCCCCGCAGCAGAGGCGGGGCGAGCCGGUGCCGCAGGGGCUGCUCGACCGCGUGCUGGCGGCGCAGGCCUACUGGUCCCAGCAGCAGCAGCAGGUGCUAUCAGGCAAGGCUUCAGGACAAGCCUGCUCCUCCAGCUGCUAA